AGAAUCAACGCUGGCGGCGUGCCUAACACAUGCAAGUCGAACGAGAAAGUGGAGCAAUCCAUGAGUAAAGUGGCGACCGGGUGAGUAACACGUGACUAACCUACCUUCGAGUGGGGGAUAACCUCGGGAAACCGGGGCUAAUACCGCAUAACAUCUUUGAAGUGGAAAUUUCGGAGAUCAAAGGAGCAAUUCGCUGGAAGAGGGGGUCGCGGCUGAUUAGCUAGUUGGCGGGUAACGGCCCACCAAGGCUUAGAUCGGUA
rnacentral:rRNA from 1 species